CCUACGGGGGGCUGCAGUGGGGAAUAUUGGACAAUGGGCGAAAGCCUGAUCCAGCCAUGCCGCGUGUGUGAAGUAGGCCUUCGGGUUGUAAAGCACUUUCAGUUGGGAAGAAAGCCUUGGGGCUAAUACCCUCGAGGAAGGACAUCACCCACAGAAGAAGCACCGGCUAACUCCGUGCCAGCAGCCGCGGUAAUACGGAGGGUGCGAGCGUUAAUCGGAAUUACUGGGCGUAAAGCGCGCGUAGGCGGUCUGAUAAGCCGGUUGUGAAAGCCCCGGGCUCAACCUGGGAACGGCAUCCGGAACUGUCAGGCUAGAGUGCAGGAGAGGAAGGUAGAAUUCCCGGUGUAGCGGUGAAAUGCGUAGAGAUCGGGAGGAAUACCAGUGGCGAAGGCAGCCUUCUGGACUGACACUGACGCUGAGGUGCGAAAGCGUGGGUAGCAAACAGGAUUAGAUACCCCGGUAGUC
rnacentral:rRNA from 1 species